CGAGUGGCGAACGGGUGAGUAACGCGUGAGGAACCUGCCUCAAGGAGGGGAACAACAGUUGGAAACGACUGCUAAUACCGCAUAAGCCCACGACCCGGCAUCGGGUAGAGGGAAAAGGAGCAAUCCGCUUUGAGAUGGCCUCGCGUCCGAUUAGCUAGUUGGUGAGGUAACGGCCCACCAAGGCAACGAUCGGUAGCCGGACUGAGAGGUUGAACGGCCACAUUGGGACUGAGACACGGCCCAG
rnacentral:rRNA from 1 species